CGGGAGGCAGCAGUGGGGAAUAUUGGACAAUGGGGGCAACCCUGAUCCAGCCAUGCCGCGUGUGUGAAGAAGGCCUUUUGGUUGUAAAGCACUUUAAGCAGGGAGGAGAGGCUAAUGGUUAAUACCCAUUAGAUUAGACGUUACCUGCAGAAUAAGCACCGGCUAACUCUGUGCCAGCAGCCGCGGUAAUACAGAGGGUGCGAGCGUUAAUCGGAAUUACUGGGCGUAAAGCGAGUGUAGGUGGCUCAUUAAGUCACAUGUGAAAUCCCCGGGCUUAACCUGGGAACUGCAUGUGAUACUGGUGGUGCUAGAAUAUGUGAGAGGGAAGUAGAAUUCCAGGUGUAGCGGUGAAAUGCGUAGAGAUCUGGAGGAAUACCGAUGGCGAAGGCAGCUUCCUGGCAUAAUAUUGACACUGAGAUUCGAAAGCGUGGGUAGCAAACAGGAUUAGAUACCCUGGUAGUCCACGCCGUAAACGAUGUCUACUAGCCGUUGGGGUCCUUGAGACUUUAGUGGCGCAGUUAACGCGAUAAGUAGACCGCCUGGGGAGUACGGCCGCAAGGUUAAAACUCAAAUGAAUUGACGGGGGCCCGCACAAGCGGUGGAGCAUGUGGUUUAAUUCGAUGCAACGCGAAGAACCUUACCUGGUCUUGACAUAGUGAGAAUCCUGCAGAGAUGCGGGAGUGCCUUCGGGAAUUCACAUACAGGUGCUGCAUGGCUGUCGUCAGCUCGUGUCGUGAGAUGUUGGGUUAAGCCCCGCAACGAGCGCAACCCUCGUUCUAUGUUGCCAGCACGUGAUGGUGGGGACUCAUAGGAGACUGCCGGGGUCAACUCGGAGGAAGGUGGGGAUGACGUCAAAUCAUCAUGCCCCUUAUGUCUUGGGCUUCACGCAUGCUACAAUGGCUGGUACAGAGAGUGGCGAGCCUGUGAGGGUGAGCGAAUCUCGGAAAGCCGGUCUCAGUUCGGAUUGGGGUCUGCAACUCGACCCCAUGAAGUCGGAGUCGCUAGUAAUCGCAGAUCAGCAACGCUGCGGUGAAUACGUUCCCGGGGCUUGUACACACCGCCCGUCAAGUCAUGAAAGUUGGUAACACCCGAAGCCGGC
rnacentral:rRNA from 1 species